GACGAACGCUGGCGGCGUGCUUAACACAUGCAAGUCGAACGGAAAGGCCCUGCUUGCAGGGUGCUCGAGUGGCGAACGGGUGAGUAACACGUGGGUGAUCUGCCCCUUACUUUGGGAUAAGCCUGGGAAACUGGGUCUAAUACUGGAUAGGACCAUGCUGUAGGUGGUGUGGUGGAAAGAUUUUUUCGGUAAGGGAUGAGCUCGCGGCCUAUCAGCUUGUUGGUGGGGUAAUGGCCUACCAAGGCGUCGACGGGUAGCCGGCCUGAGAGGGUGGACGGCCACAUUGGGACUGAGAUACGGCCCAGACUCCUACGGGAGGCAGCAGUGGGGAAUAUUGCACAAUGGGCGCAAGCCUGAUGCAGCGACGCCGCGUGGGGGAUGACAGCCUUCGGGUUGUAAACUCCUUUCAGCCAUGACGAAGCCUCUUUUGGGGUGACGGUAGUGGUAGAAGAAGCACCGGCUAACUACGUG
rnacentral:rRNA from 1 species